CAAGCCUUCUGAUAUGGUCUACCACAGCAUUCUUGCAAACAAGAAGAAGAGAGUCUGAGCUGGAGAAGAGAUUCAGGGAAUGAUGAAGUCUAACUAGCACUACGUGGGAUCCUGGCAAAUGCAGCUUCAAAGAAACCUUGGGAGCCCUGAAAAUCCCAACUCCGUGAUUGUCUGGUGGCAAGGACCUUGAAAGUCCAUAUGCUGCUACAGAGUUGGCAAUCUGAAAGAUGUGGGAGCUCAGACUAACCUAGAGUUAAGAGACUGGAAGCCUCGACCCCAAAGCCUCCCUCCAGGAGGAUUGGUAUACUGCUGGGACAGGGAAUUGGCAAGUUUUAUCAAAACUGUUUCUUUUUUUCUCCUGAUUUGUGCCUCUUGAGUCAACAAAUUAGAGCUCACACCACAAUACGGAACAGUGCUUGCUCCUGUGAAUUGUGACUCUGAAGCUUUGUUGAUUAUUGUGUUUCUUGGUGCAGUACCUACUGAAUAUUUUGCUGGUGCACAACACAGAAAUUUGGAAUGGAAAUCUUCAGUGAAAUUUCAGUUUUACUGUAUUUUAUUUUGGGAGUGGAUCUGAUGUUGAUGCACAGCAUUCCCCAAUAGAAAAAAAUUGCACUCAAAGACUUCCAAGCAGCAAUAAUAUGUAUUCUGUAAGCCUCUGACCAUAGAACUCAGGCUUGUACUCCACAAACACAACUUGCAUUUUCUU